GACGAACGCUGGCGGCGUGCUUAACACAUGCAAGUCGAACGAAGUGGCGAACGGGUGAGUAACGCGUAAUAAACCUGCCCUUCAGAGGGGGACAACAGUUGGAAACGACUGCUACUACCGCAUACUGAAGGAGGGGAGUGCGUCUGAUUAGCUAGUUGGAGGGGUCACGACCCACCAAGUCGAUGAUCAGUAACCGGUCUGAGAGGAUGAACGGCCACAUUGGGACUGAGACACGGCCCAGAAUCCGACGGGAUGCAGCAGUGGGGAAUCUUCCGCAAUGGACGAAAGUCUGACGGAGCAACGCCGCGUGAGUGAUGACGGCCUUCGGGUUGUAAAGCUCUGUUAAUCGGGACGCGGUACCGGAAUAGAAAGCCACGGCUAACUACGUGCCAGCAGCCGCGGUAAUUC
rnacentral:rRNA from 1 species